UACGUAGGGGGCAAGCGUUGUCCGGAUUUAUUGGGCGUAAAGAGCGUGUAGGCGGCUUUGCAAGUCCGUUGUGAAAACUCGAGGCUCAACCUCGAGACGCCGGUGGAAACUGCAAAGCUAGAGUCCGGAAGAGGAGAGUGGAAUUCCUGGUGUAGCGGUGAAAUGCGCAGAUAUCAGGAAGAACACCUGUGGCGAAGGCGGCUCUCUGGGACGGUACUGACGCUGAGACGCGAAAGCGUGGGGAGCGAACAGG
rnacentral:rRNA from 1 species